AUUCAUAAUGGCAUCAUCCACCAAUAUAUUCAUUAAUAUAUUAACAAUGAUUCUUAACGUUCAUAUUAAAUAUUCACAUACACAUAAUUAGACCUUGACCAUUAGUGGAGUUACUCUAGGCACGAUUGAUAACACUUAGUGUCACAUUAAACCUACCUAGCAAUGUACAAGGAGGAGCACCUCGUCCUAGGAUCCAAUCACCUUUAACUCAGGAAACCUAAAACAUGAAUUUUAAAAACGUGAGUAUAAACUCAGUGAGUGAACAUAAGAAGGGAACAAGCAUCAAUACGGGAGGUUUUAGAAAUCAUGAUGCAUUUAUGUUGAAGACAAUGCAAUUUAACUCAAUUUCUUGUCACAACGAAAAUUUGUCUUUGCUGCGGUGAAAAUCAAGUGGAAACCGUUUCUCAAGUUUUAACAUUCAAUAAUCAAUGCAACCAUAAUAUAAUUUCCAAAACUUCUAUAUAUAUAUAUAUAUAUAUAUCAUAUAUAAACAAAUAUAUAACCACCGGCCUCGCCCCCAACUUUGUCUCAGCUUAUGUGCACUACCACACCGCACAUAAUCCGGUUAGCACAGCUCAUGUGCACUCCUACACCGCACAUGGCUGGGUCAGCACAGCUCAUGUGCACUCCUACACCGCACAUGGCUGGGUCAUAAUUAUCACACAAAAAUAUCAUUUAAUGUAUAAUAUACACAUCAACAUAAUGUAGAAACUCAUGAGUUCAUCAUGUUCAUAUCUCAUAAUAUCAAAACAUUUCAUCAAGGGCUUGUUCCCAUGCAACUUUUAAAGAAAAACUAACAAAAUAUUUCAAGUGGCUCAGUCAAGCAUAAAAUCAUUUAUUCCAAAACAUUUUAAUGCAAGUUCACUCACCUGGCAAGAACGAGAUAUUAAGUUGCUAUUUGUUUGGAGGUGUCUCUAACUAUUUUCACUGGCCGGUCGCUCGUUAUUUACUCCGGCACGACCCCACAAUACUCUAACUUUAUCUUUGCAUUUCCUAGCAAUAAUACGAACUCAAUAUAUUUAAUUACAUAUGUAUUCGAACAACACUUCAAUCAAUUAAUCCUUACUCAAAUUUAUAUUUUUCCUCCUAUCAUGAAACCAUCUUCAAUUAACUCACAUCUUAAUACAUUUUUACUAAAAUUACUUAUAUCCAUUGCUUACGUAAUUCCUUAAAUUAUAUCACCAGUAACUUAAUUAUAAUGUCAUGUGUCUACUUCAGCAUUUAUAAAUAAUUUCCACCCAAAUCUAUCUUAUAUUUUCACAUAUAAUCCACAUAUAUGGCAGCAACAAUCAUUCUCACUUUCACUUGAUUAUUUCCUAGUUUACAUGCAUCAUUAUCUAUCUAACUUUCAAUACUUUGUUUCUCAAUCCUCCAUCCACAAUAUUCUUUUUUCAUUUCUUUCAAAUGACAUGCCAUACAAUCUUAACAAUUUUCAACUAGCUUAUGCAAGUAGAUACUUUCAAUAACCAUAAUUUCCCACAAUAUUCAACUAACCGUAGGCUUUAAAACAUAGUGUUAAGCUUACCGUUUUCCUUUUCCACUUUGAGUCCUUCAUGUACCCAUGGGUUUAUUGGCUUACAUGUUAUCAAUUUUUCUCCAAUCAAGCCAAUCUUUGCUGCCACAAGAGAUUUCUCUAAGUCAUUAACUCAUUUUCAAAGACUACUUAAGCCAAAAACAAGAAUUCUUACCGUUCGUUGCUUGAAUCACCAAAACCAAGCUUUUUCUUCCUUUCUCUCUUUUUCUUUCUUCUUCUCCUAGAGUUUAAAUGUGCUGGAAAUUGGGGUUAGAAGUUGUAACUUUGGUGCACAAGAAGUUGGGAGAAGAAUGAAGCAAGAAGAAAAAAGAAAUGAAAAGAAAACAAGGAAAGAGUAUGAAAGAAAAUUAGUUUUCCAUGGGAGAAUGAG
rnacentral:lncRNA from 1 species